UACGUAGGGUGCGAGCGUUAAUCGGAAUUACUGGGCGUAAAGCGUGCGCAGGCGGCGCGUUUAAGACAGGUGUGAAAGCCCCCGAGCUUAACUUGGGAAUUGCGCUUGUGACUGGCGUGCUGGAGUGUGGCAGAGGGAGGUGGAAUUCCACGUGUAGCAGUGAAUGCGUAGAGAUGUGGAGGAACACCGAUGGCGAAGGCAGCCUCCUGGGCCAGCACUGACGCUCAUGCACGAAGCGUGGGAGCAAACAGG
rnacentral:rRNA from 1 species